UCUGAGCAUUUUUCAAAAAAACAGUUAGUAUUUUAAUUAUUGAAUAUAUUCCAAAUUACAGAUAUAACUUGGUUAUUUUCUAUUAUCUUGUAAAUGGUAGAGAAUAAAAAUUUGAUAUUUUGUAGUUAUGUAUAACUUUACAAACCCUAUCAAAUUAGCUAUCAAAAUGACAGUGUUGCCAUUUAAGAAAAUCGACGAUGACGUCAUAUCUCUAAAUUGGGACACCCUGUAUACAUUUUUAUUGAAUGUCAAAAAGAACAAUUUGAAAUACUAAUCGACGGGUCUGAGUAUUUUCCAAAAAAACAAUUAGUAUUUGAGAUAUUGAAUUUAUUCCACUUUACAGACUCUCUCUGUAUAGGGCAGUCAAUGAGGGUAUGUGGCUCCGAAUUCCAUCCUACUAUAUCGAUUUACGUGAUAUUUCAUAGUAAGUAGGGAAUAGCCCAAGAAACAAAGUCUACCCUAUGCCGAUGUGUGCUUUUGUCUUGGGGGCGGUUCCCACCCCUUCUCGGGGGUGGAAAAUUUUUUGCUUAAAUAACUACGGAAGUUGCUAGAGAACCUAAUACUAAGCAAAAACUGUUUUAUAAUUUUUUUUUUCGAAAACUCGAUACUUUUUGAGUUAUUCCUGGCUGAAAGUUGCCCAUUUUAAAAACUAUGCAUCUAACUAAAAAAACUAUAUAAAACAUUUUUGUAGCUUAUAAAAUAACGAAGAGAUUCUUUCCUUUAUGAAUCUUCUAGUUAUAGCACAAAAAGAGAUAUGGUAAGUGCAAAAAAACUUGUUUUCUUGGUGCAUGCUCAAAUCAGUGUAUUUAACUUGAAAUAACAGAGAAACGGUCGACUUUAGGUGUAUAAUGCUACCAAUAACUUUUGUUGUGAUUGAAAAUACCUAUAAAUUAAGCAAUAUUAAAUGUCGAUUACAUUCAAACUAUGCGAGAUAAACUGUAAGAAAUUUGAUGACUAACGUAUUUUAAGAAAAAAAUGAGAAGUGUAUUUAACCCCUCAUCCACAAGAAUUUAAAUGCAUCGUUUUCCUUCUACAGUAUAUUUUAUUAUAGUGUUAUUUUUAUGUUCAAAAAGUUGGGCGAGUUUAAAAUGAAUGGUUCUUGAAAGAAAUAAAUCAAAUUAUUGAGCGCAUUUUUAAAUUUCCUUAAAAAUCUUCCUAUUUCUCCAUGUAACUCGAAAAUGAUAAGAGAUGCCAAAAAAAGAUGCCAUUCAAAAAUGUAGGUUUGUUCUAGAUAAACAUUUUGAUUUUAUUUUUUAUAACAGUAUCUCUUAUCAUUUUCAAGUUACAUGGAGAAAAAGUAAGAUUUUUUAGAAAAUUUAAAUAUGCGCUCUAUAAUUUGAUCUUAUUUUUUUCAAAAACCAUUCAAUUUAUACCCGCUCAAUUUUUUGAACAUAAAAAUAACACUGAAGGAAAGCGAUGCAUUUAAAUUCUUGUGGAUGAGUGGUUAAAUAUACUUCUCAAUUUUUUUCUUAAAAUUCGUUAGUCAUCAAUUUUUUGCAGCAUAUCUCGCUUAGUUUGAAUGUAAUCGACAUUUAAUAUUGCAUAUUUGAAAUGACUUUUCAAGCACAAUAAAAGGUAUUGGUAGCAUUAUACACCUAAAAUCGACCGUUUCUCUGUUAUUUCAAUUUGAAUACACUGAUUUGAGCAUGCACCAAAAAAACAAACUCUUUUACCUACCAUAUCUCUUUUUGUGUUAUAACUAGAAGAUUGAAGAUGGAACAAAUCUCUUUGAUUUUUUAUGAGCUACAAAAAUGUUUUAUAUAAUUUUUUUAGUUAGAUGCAUUGUUUUUAAGGUAUUCGCAAAAAACCGUUUGAGAAGGUGUUAUAUUUCAAUGAAAAUGGCCAAUUUUCAACCACGAAUAACUGAAAAAGUAUUGAGUUUUCGGAAAAAAAUUAUAGAACAGUUUUUGCUUAGAAUUAGGUUCUCUAGCAACUUCCGUUGUUGUUUAACCAAAAAAUUUCCCACCCCCAAGAAGGGGUGGGAACCGCACCCAAGACAAAAGCACACAUCGGCAUAGGGUAGACUUUGAAUAAGGAGAUAUUUUCAGGCUAUUCCUAAAAUUUCAUUAAAAUCCAUGCAGUAGGAUAGAAUUAGGAGGUAAUAACCUGUUCUUGCUCUCAUUGACUGCCCUAAUAGGAAUAUAAAAAAUAUGCAAAAUGCAUAUUUUAUUAAAUUCUGUAAUCCUGAAUUUGCUAAAAAAAAUUAAAUGUUAAAUAUGUACUUACGAACUCUCGCCGUUACGAAUUGUCCGUUACCAUUUGUCGGGUUACGAACUAUCGCGUUACGAGAUGUCAUGGAACCAUAAUAACACACGCAAGGAUAAAAAGAUACAAGGAUAAGAUAACAGAUUGUACGUGGCCGACAUUAUCAGUUAUGUUUGGAGAUAAAAUGGUUCCGGUUUGUUAGAAUUUAACGGAAAUAUCCAAGUGUUCAAGGUUAGGAAACUAAACCGUUUGAUUAAAAAAAAUUUUUUUCAUUAAUUUCUAAGUAAAAAUACCAUUUUAUGUUCAAAGAGCCGAUAUUGUAGCCCCCUUAAUAAUUAUUUUUAUGUUUGUCCCUUGUCCAGUGUGUGUUAUCUAUUUGUAUUAUUUUUAAUUAAAUGUCUGACAUUCCGGGAUUUGCUGGAUAACUUCCUUUUUUGACGGAAUGCCCCCUGAUGAUGCUAUGAGAGCGAAACUACUUGGGCAAAAUUUAAUAAAUAACUGCUCGAUAUCUGCGUUUUAUUUGUAAAAUUCAUAUAUUCGAGCAUUGAACUAUAUUAUAUUAUUGAAUUGUAAUGUAGUUAAAAGGCAAUUAAGAUAAAUUUUUACAGAGUUUAUCGUGUUCUUCUAUGAUUAUUAAAUAAUUCUAGUUUAUUUGUUAUCUCAUUACUAGAUCUAGUAAGAGAUAACCCAUGAAUUUUUUAAAAUGUUUAUCCAAUUCUGAUAUAUCUGUUAAGUACAUAAUAAUGAACCUAUUAAAUAAGUCGCAGAUUCUACAUAGUAAAAAAAACUUGUUUCAAUAAAUUUGAAAGUUCAAAACGCUUUAUCCAGAAAGAUGUAAAUAUAUCAAAAAUAUUAUCAGUAAUAAUUGCACAAGAGCUCUAAAAUUCUAUAUUAAUUUUAGAGAUCGAGUGCAAUUUGUUGCGAUUAUUUCAUGAAUAAAACUGUUCAACACCAAAA
rnacentral:lncRNA from 1 species